rnacentral:rRNA from 1 species
UACGGGGGGGGCAAGCGUUGUUCGGAAUUACUGGGCGUAAAGGGCCAGUAGGCGGCCAACUAAGUCGGACGUGAAAUCCCCAGGCUCAACCUGGGAACUGCGUCCGAUACUGGAUGGCUGGAGUUUGGGAGAGGGAUGCGGAAUUCCAGGUGUAGCGGUGAAAUGCGUAGAUAUCUGGAGGAACACCGGUGGCGAAGGCGGCAUCCUGGACCAAUACUGACGCUGAGGAGCGAAAGCCAGGGGAGCAAACGGG